GAUGAAGAACGGAGCGAAAUGCGAUAAGUAAUGCGAAUUGCAGAAUUCAGUGAGUCAUCGAAUCUUUGAACGCACAUUGCGCCCUGUGGUAUUCCGCAGGGCAUGCCUGUUCGAGCGUCAUUUCAACCCUCAAGCUCUGCUUGGUGUUGGGCCCUGCCCGCUGCGGCCGGCCCUAAAGACAGUGGCGGUGCCGCCUGGCCCUGAGCGUAGUACAUCUCUCGCUCCAGUGCCCGGUGGUAGCCUGCCAGAACCCCAACUCUCGUGGUUGACCUCGGAUCAGGUAGGGAUACCCGCUGAACUUAAGCAUAUCAAUAAGCGGAGGA
rnacentral:misc_RNA from 1 species